rnacentral:misc_RNA from 1 species
AUGACCAUGGACCCGGGAUCGGGUCCGUAUUGGGCCUCGCCUCGAUGGGCGUAGCCUCGAAGACAUUGGUCUAACGCUCGGACGAGCUCCCCUGGGACAGACCGAGCAGAGACCCUAAGCAUCUGA